rnacentral:rRNA from 1 species
ACAACGAAGAGCCUGAUCCUGGCUCAGGAUGAACGCUAGCGGUUAACACAUGCAAGUCGAACGGUAACAGUAGCAGUUCAGCUACUAGAUGACGAGUGGCGCACGGGUUGCGUAACGCGUAUGCAACCUGCCUACAGGGGGAUAGCCCGGAGAAAUUCGGAUUAAUACCCCAUAGUUUCCUGAAUCGCAUGGGACGAUUAAAGUUUCGGCGGUAAAAGAUGGGCAUGCGUGCAUUAGCUAGUUGGUAGGUAACGGCUACCAAGGCGACGAUGCUAGGGGUUCUGAGAGGAUGAUCCCCCACACUGGUACUGAGACACGGGCCAGACAGGCAGCAGUGAGGAAUAUUGGUCAAUGGGCGCAAGCCUGAACCAGCCAUGUCGCGUGCAGGAAGACGGAGUCAUGGGUUGUAAACUGCUUGUAUGGGAAGAAAGUUAGCUACGAGUAGCUAUUUGCCGGUACCAUACCCUAAGGAUCGGCUAACUCCGUGCCAGCACGGUAAUACGGAGGAUCCGAGCGUUAUCCGGAUUUAUUGGGUAAGGGUGCGUAGGCGGACUUGUAAGUCAGUGGUGAAAUACUGCAGCUUAACUGUAGAAUUGCCGUUGAUACUGCAAGUCUUGAGUACAGUUGAGGUAGGCGGAAUGUGGUGUGUAGCGGAUGCAUAGAUAUACCACAGAACCCGAUUGCGAAGGCAGCUUACUAAAGUGUCACUGACGCUGAUGCACGAAAGCGUGGGUAUCAAACAGGAUUAGAUACCCCAUAGUCCACGCUGUAAACGAUGAUUACUGGUUGUUAGCGAUAUACCGUUAGUGACUGAGCGAAAGCAUUAAGUAAUCCACCUGGGGAGUACGUCGGCAGCAUGAAACUCAAAGGAAUUGACGGGGGCCCGCAGCGGAGGAACAUGUGGUUUAAUUCGAUGAUACGCGAGGAACCUUACCUGGGUUUAAAUGGGAAGUGACAGACUUGGAAACAGGUUCUUCGGACACUUCAAGGUGCUGCAUGGUUGUCGUCAGCUCGUGCCCAGAGGUGUCGGGUUAAGUCCCAUAACGAGCGCAACCCCUAUACUGAUUAAGCACAUAAUGGUGGGGACUCUGCCGAGACUGCCGGUGUAAACCGUGAGGAAGGAUGACGUCAAAUCAGCACGGCCCUUACAUCCAGGGCUACACACGUGUUACAAUGGCCGGUACAAAGGGCAGCUACCCCGCGAGGGGAUGCGAAUCUCUUGACCGGUCUCAGUUCGGAUUGGAGUCUGCAACCCGACUCCAUGAAGCUGGAUUCGCUAGUAAUCGCGAUCAGCCACGGCGCGGUGAAUACGUUCCCGGGCCUUGUACACACCGCGGGUCAAGCCGGGGGAGCCGGGGGUACCUGAAGUAUGCUCGCAAGGAGCGGCCUAGGGUAAAACUGGUGACUGG